GACAGAGGCCUCAAGCGUUAGGCGGAAUCACUGGGCUUAAAGCGUGUGUAGGCGGAUCGUUAAGUGUCUUGUGAAAUCCCACGGCUCACCCGUGGAACGGCUGGGCAUACUGGCGAUCUUGGGCCAACUAGGGGCAACUGGAACAAGCGGUGGAGCGGUGAAAUGCGUAGAUAUCGCUUGGAACGCCAAAGGUGAAAGCAGGUUGCUGGGCCGACACUGACGCUGAUAGCGCGAAAGCCAGGGGAGCAAACGGG
rnacentral:rRNA from 1 species